UGUGUACUCUUCCACUUUGAUUAGUUGUAU
rnacentral:piRNA from 1 species